rnacentral:rRNA from 1 species
AGUGAACGCUGGCGGCGUGCUUAACACAUGCAAGUCGAACGAGAACGGAAUAUAGCUUGCUAUAUUUGUCAGCUAAGUGGCGCACGGGUGAGUAAUGUAUAGAUAACCUGCCCUUAAGAAAGGAAUAACAGUUGGAAACGACUGCUAAUGCCCUAUAUGCCUUUAAUACAUAAGUAUGCAAGGGAAACGCUUUAGUGCUCAAGGAUGGGUCUGUAUGGUAUCAGCUUGUUGGUGAGGUAAUGGCUCACCAAGGCUAUGACGCCUAACUGAUUUGAGAGGAUGAUCAGUCACACUGGAACUGAGACACGGUCCAGACUCCUACGGGAGGCAGCAGUGGGGAAUAUUGCAUAAUGGACGAAAGUCUGAUGCAGCAACGCCGCGUGGAGGAUGACACAUUUCGGUGCGUAAACUCCUUUUAUAUAGGAAGAUAAUGACGGUGCUAUAUGAAUAAGCACCGGCUAACUCCGUGCCAGCAGCCGCAGUAACAC